AGAUGUUAAAAUGAUUGUCACUGAAACAGUUACAAGCUUGCUUGCCCAAAUGAAAAAAGAGAUGAAAAAAGAACUUAAAAAAGAAAUGAUGGUUGAAAUUCAAACUAAUAAAGAAAAGGUAGAACAGCACUUUAAGUCAGAGGUAUCUAGACUAAGUAAAAGAAUAGACAGUGUAGAAUUUGACAAUGCGAAUAUCUUAGAAAAAAACGCAAACCUUCACAAAGAAAACAGGCUUUUGAAAGAAGAGAUUGAAAAUACGGGAAAACGUGCAACCGAAGCAAUGGAAUUGUCAAACUGGAAUGAACAAUACUCAAGGAAAAAAAUAUUAAAAUAUUUGACUUUCCAGAAAAAAAGGGGGAAAGAUUGCCUCAUAGCUUUUUUCAAGAGAUAAGUAAACUGGGUGUAAAAAUUGAACCAUCAGAGAUUGUAGCAGCACACAGGAUACCAGGAAAAAACGGCAAACCUAGACCAAUUCUUGUGAAAUUUAUGCGCAUGGAAUCGAAAAUCUCUAUUUUGCGAAAUAGAAAACUUAUCAAUGAGAAGUUAGAAGUUCGCAUCUCUGACGAUGUUACAAAAUUGAACCAAGGGCUACUAAAUAGACUAUACCUGCAUGAGGAUGUCACCAGUGCGUGGUAUUUCAACGGUCACAUAUAUGGCACUGACAGCAAGGGGGACCGGCAUCGUUUUGACAUUUAUGACAACAUAAGGCAGAAACUGAGCUCAUAAGAAUAGCUCGUAUAACGGACCGGUUCUUACAUUACAUUUAUUCAAAUUUGUUUAUUGUCGUUUAUUAUUUGUUGAUAUCUUGUAGAAAUGUCGUUCUUUUUUUUUAUUGUUUAACAACACCAAAGUUGAAGAUGAACCUUUGCAUUGUAGCCUGUAUAUUCAGGGAGUGGCAUACCUAAUUUAUUUAUUUUACGGAAUUUAAGGUCUAUUUCCGUAUUCGUCUUUAAUUUUUCUAUCCGUUUCAAAACUUCCGGUAGAGAAUUUAACAAAAACUGCACAUUUGAAAUACACAUUUUUUAAUAUUUUUGGUAAGAAGUAAUCGGUUUUCAAUCUGGUCUUCGAUUUAAAAACUUCCGGGCCACUUCACUGAUAUGAAAAAAUACACCGAACACCAUCUCCUCCUGGAAAUAGAAGUAAAAUCUUAUCUGUUCUCUGUGUGAAUAAUGAACCGUUAAAAAAUGUCUCUUAGACCUAUAAAUUAUAACUAUAAAUUUGUCCUAGUACUACUUCAGAGUAAUCCCUGCACAUAAGCGUGAGAUUAAUAAACAAACACUUAUAAAAUGAAACCCUUGCCAAUACAUUUUAUCAUACAAUAAAUGUUUAAGUGCUAGUUUCACUCUGGAUAAAUACAAUAUACAUGUAACACUGAAAUAAGAGAUGCAUGUACAGUUAAGAUGGGGUCAGCAAUCUGAAUUCAAUUGUAUAUAUAGAUGGUUGUUCGUGUAACAGGAUUUAAAGGUGCAUGUGUAUAUUUGUAUGUUGUUUUUUUUUAUGUUUUUCUUCUUCAAUUGUAUGAAUGCAUGUACCUGUGUUGGUAAAAAUGCUCUGUUGUUAUUGUGGGUUUUUUUGUUUCUUUUUUUCGUUACUUUAUUUUCUUUUAUUUAGCAUGGUGAUUAUAAAUUAGCAUGUUGACUAUUAUUAUAUGCUAUUCUUUGUUAUACAUCUUCUCUCGUAAAAUCGAACAAUACACAAAUUUAAAAUUAAAACGUGCAAAUCGAGGUACAAAAUGAAGUUUCACAGAACUUUUUUGAUAUAUAUUUCAGUUUUACUUUAGCACAAAAAUAUUUGCUCAUUUUAUUUAUACUAUGAUGCUCUCGACACUUUUUUUUAGGGGGUUGGGGGUAACUCUAAGUAAAAAAUUGAAACAUUGGGAAAACACUUUUACAUAUAGAUGCACAUGUGUAUGGUUUGUUCAUACUGCUUGGAUAUAUUGGGCUUAUAGAUAUUUAUAUUUAUUAUUAUUUAAGCUAUUCUUGUUUAACCACUUGAUAAUAUUAUGUCGACUAUAACUAUUGGUAGUGUAAACUGCAGGGGUUUAUCAGAAACAGUCAAAAGAAUUGAUAUAUUUACAAAAUAUAAGGACUUAUAUGAUAUAAUUAUAUUUAGUAGACACCCAUAGCACAUCUGAAAAAGAAAAACAAUGGCUGCAUGAAUGGGGAUAUGUGGGGAAAUUUAGUUCUUUUUCUAGUAAAAGUAGAGGGGUAGCUGUUCUUUUCAGAAAUACUUUUGAAUUUAAAAUCCAUGGGGAAACUAUAGACUUGUCCGGUAAUUUUGUUAUAUUAGAUAUCACCAUUCAGGACUAUCGUAUAACUUUGGCAGCAAUAUAUGGACCGAAUAAUGAUGAACCAGCCUUUUUUGACAACAUAAAAAACAAAAUAUCCCACUUUGGCAACUCGUCAAUUGUAGUGGUGGGUGAUUGGAAUGUUGUUCAAGAUUAUGAGAUGGACACAUUAUAUUAUAGAAAUGAAAAUAACCCCCAGUCAAAAGCUAAGAUACAUGAGGUUAUGCAUGACCUUGAUUUAUUAGAUAUAUGGCGCCUGCAACACCCUUUUGAAAAGAGGUACUCAUGGCGGGGUCCAAAUCGCAAACAAAGUCGUUUGGACUACUUCAUGAUUACCUCUGAUAUAGAAGCAUUUGUAAUUUCAUCAGAUAUAGGAAUAAGUUAUAGAUCGGAUCAUUCUCCAGUACUUAUUAAUUUAAAAUUUUCAAGCCAGAUUAGAGGGAAGGGUACAUGGAAAUUUAAUAACAGUCUAUUGAAGG
rnacentral:lncRNA from 1 species